UGAGCAAUCUGCCCUUCUCAUCGGAAUAAGCGUUGGAAACGACGUCUAAUGCCGAAUACGACCUCCUUUCGCAUGAUCGGAGGUGGAAAGCUCCGGCGGAGAAGGAUGAGCUCGCGGCCUAUCAGCUAGUUGGUGUGGGUAAUGGCCCACCAAGGCGACGACGGGUAGCCGGCCUGAGAGGGUGACCGGCUACACUGGGACUGAGACACGGCCCAGACCUCCGUACGGGAGCAG
rnacentral:rRNA from 1 species